rnacentral:rRNA from 1 species
GACGAACGCUGGCGGCGUGCUUAACACAUGCAAGUCGAGCGGUAAGGCCCUUUCGGGGGUACACGAGCGGCGAACGGGUGAGUAACACGUGGGUGACCUGCCCUCAGCCCUGGGAUAAGCCUGGGAAACUGGGUCUAAUACUGGAUAUGACUCCACGGUGCAUGUCGUGGGGUGGAAAGCCUUGUGCGGCUGAGGAUGGGCCCGCGGCCUAUCAGCUUGUUGGUGGGGUGAUGGCCUACCAAGGCGACGACGGGUAGCCGGCCUGAGAGGCGACCGGCCACACUGGGACUGAGACACGGCCCAGACUCCUACGGGAGGCAGCAGUGGGGAAUCUUGCGCAAUGGGCGAAAGCCUGACGCAGCGACGCCGCGUGAGGGAUGACGGCC